UACGUAGGGUGCGAGCGUUGUCCGGAAUUAUUGGGCGUAAAGAGCUCGUAGGCGGUGUGUCACGUCGGCCGUGAAAACCUGCAGCUUAACUGUGGGCGUGCGGUCGAUACGGGCAUCACUGGAGUUCGGCAGGGGAGUGUGGAAUUCCUGGUGGAGCGGUGAAAUGCGCAGAUAUCAGGAGGAACACCCGUAGCGAAGGCGGCACUCUGGGCCGGAACUGACGCUGAGGAGCGAAAGCGUGGGGAGCGAACAGG
rnacentral:rRNA from 1 species